CCAGCACAUAGUGGGUCCUCACACAGGACUGCCUGGCACACAGUAGGUCCUCAGUAUGACUGUUUGAAUUGAACUGAAUCCAUUUUAGCCUGAAUAUCUUUAAGUGGUUGGAGUUGCCUGUGUGAUCUUAGGUAUUAACUCUGCAGAGGGUAAGGGCGCUGCUGGAAGGGACACAUUGGCCGCCCAGGGCUGGGGUCAGACGGUUCCUGGUGCCCAGAACUCCUCUCCUCCUACACCACCCCACACGCCAAAAGUUUCUUCUCCUACGAGCCUGUGCCUCUAACAUCUUUACAACAACAACAAUUCUUAAGGCUUUUACUCCACAAUCAGCAAAGAAGAUUUAAAAUAGCACGAGAGAAGAGGUGUGUUGACUCCAAUUCACGCUACGCAGGGAAGCACAGAGACGGCGGGAACCUCUGACACCAUUCAGUAAUUCCGAACCUUGCUGCAGGUUAGGAUCUCCAGAAGAACUUUUAAAAUUUUCUAACGGAAUCAGAGUCUCUGGAAUGGGGCCCACUGUCGGUAUUUUUAAGGCUCCCCGGUGACCCAAAUGUACAGCCAAGGAAGGAGCAUCAAGGGGUUAGCCAGUCACAUCCUUCUUCUUUUUAAGGGAAAAUGCGCCUAACAUAACAUUGACCAUGAACCAUUUGACGUGAGCCAUUCGACGGCGGUCAGUAUAUCCACAAUACCAUGCAGCCACCACCUCUCCCUAGUUCCAAGGCAUGUUCAGUGCCCCCGAAAAGAAACCCCAUACCCAUUCGGCAGGCACCCCCAGUUCCCUUUUGUCCCAACCCCUGGGAAUCACGCUAAUCUACGUUCUGUCUCCACGGAUUUACCUGCUCCAGAAAUGUCACUGAAACAACAUCGCACAACCUGUGACCUUUCCCGUCUGGCGUCUUCACGCAGCAUCAUGUCUUCAAGGUUCACGUACGUUGCAGCCUGUGCCGGGACUCUUCUCAUGGGUGAACAUCCCAAGGAGAAAUCUACCACGUGCUGUGGAUCCCCUCAACCGUCAGUGGACCUUUGGGUUGGUUUUCAUCACCUCCUUUGAAAGCUGAGGAAGUGAGGUCCAGUGAGCACAGGGGGCUUCAAGAGUCACACAGCUCUGGGAGGCAGACCAAGGCUCAGAUCCUUGUCUCUUAAUUCACACGCAAGGUCGCUUCUGACUCCGCUGCUCCUCCCCGGUGAGCAUGUCAAACCCCGCCCCCCCGUGAGGGUGUCAGCGCUCCACGAGUGAGUCCGCUCCCUGCCGAGUGUGUCAGCAGCCCGAUCUGGAGGCUGGAAGUCCAAGGUCAGGGUGCCAGCAGAUCCUGUCUCUGGUGAGGGGCUCCUCCUGGUUUGCAGACGGCCGCCUUCUCGCUGUGCUGACAUGGAGGAGAAAGAGAAAGGAGACAUUCUGGAAGGCAUGACCUCUGAGAAGAAGGGAUCCAGGACCUCAAGAGUAGGAGCAAAAGAGGAGGCUAAAACCAGGGCAGUCUGGCCCUAGUGGGCUCCCUGACAGGCAGUGAAACUUGCCUUAUCCAUCCAUCCGUCAUUCCAUCCGUCCAUCCCUCCAAGAGCUAUGGAAUACGCCCUGGAGCCCAGCGUCUCCGCAGGAGAUGGGGAUACACUGGGGAACAGACGUGACCUUGGCUGUUCUCCUGG